CCUACGGGCGGCCGCAGUGAGGAAUAUUGGUCAAUGGACGAGAGUCUGAACCAGCAACGCAGCGUGAAGGAUGACUGCCCUAUGGUUUUUAACCUUCUUUUAUAUGGGAAUAAAAUGUUCCACGUGUGGGGUUUUGUAUGUCCCAUAUUAAUAAGGAUCGGCUAACUCCGUGCCGGCAGCCGCGGUAAUACGGAGGAUCCGAGCGUUAUCCGGAUUUAUUGGGUUUAAAGGGAGCGUAGGUGGAUUGUUAAGUCAGUUGUGAAAGUUUGCGGCUCAACCGUAAGAUUGCAGUUGAAACUGGCAGUCUUGAGUACAGUAGAGGUGGGCGGAAUUCGUGGUGUAGCGGUGAAAUGCUUAGAUAUCACGAAGAACUCCGAUGGCGAAGGCAGCUCACUGGACUGCAACUGACACUGAGGCGCGAAAGUGUGGGUAGCAAACAGGAUUAGAUACCCGAGUAGUC
rnacentral:rRNA from 1 species